UUUGAGAAUGAGACUUGGAUAUGGGUUUGACUCUGAAACAUAGAAUUAGUUUAAAAUCUAUAAAAAUUUUAGAAAAGAGGCAAGUUGAUGCUGAAGAAAACAAGAAUCAAGAGAAAUAAAUUCUCAAGACACAAAAGAGAAACAAGUUCUCUAGAGGAACUAGUUCUCAUUAUUUUUACUAAUUCUCAGUGAUAGUCAAUAAUGAUAUCUCUUUGAUAAAAAUACCCAAAUAACAUAGGUAUAGACUAGCAAUCCUACUAUUAUUAGGAUUAAGAAACCCUAAAUAAGAAAAGCCUAAUCAAAUACUAAUUAGGAAUGGAAAACUA
rnacentral:misc_RNA from 1 species